GUAUAAGAGACAGCAGUAGCCACGGGAAUACGAGGGGUGCAAGCGUUAUUCGGAUUGAUUGGGUGUAAAGGGUGUGCAGACGGCUUAUUAAGUCACUUGUUAAAUUCUUCGGCCUAACCGAAGGUCUGCAAGUGAUACUGAUGAGCUAGAGGAUGGAAGAGAGAAGUGGAAUUCUCGGAGUAGCGGUAAAAUGCGUAGAUCUCGAGAGGAACACCAAUGGCGAAGGCAGCUUCUUGGUCCAUUCCUGACGUUCAUACACGAAAGCGUGGGGAGCAAACAGGAUUAGAUACCCCUGUAGUCCCUGUCUCUUAUAA
rnacentral:rRNA from 1 species